rnacentral:rRNA from 1 species
AGCGGUUAACCCGGGAUUAUUGGGGCGUAAAAGCGCGCCGCAAGGGUGGUUUCUUAAGUCUGAUGUGAAAGGCCCACGGCUCAACCGUGGGAGGGUCAUUGGAAACUGGGAGACUUGAGUGCAGAAGAGGAAAGUGGAAUUCCAUGUGUAGCGGUGAAAUGCGUAGAGAUAUGGAGGAACACCAGUGGCGAAGGCGACUUUCUGGUCUGUAACUGACACUGAGGCGCGAAAGCGUGGGAGCAAACAGGAUUAGAUACCCUGGUAGUCCACGCCGUAAAAGAUGAAGGAUAAGUGUAGAGG